UGAGGAAUAUUCCGCAAUGGACGAAAGUCUGACGGAGCGACGCCGCGUGGAUGAGGAAGGCCGAAAGGUUGUAAAGUCCUUUUGUCGAUGAAGAAUAAGUGUGGGAGGGAAUGCCCGCAUGAUGACGUUAGUCGGCGAAUAAGCCCCGGCUAAUUACGUGCCAGCAGCCGCGGUAACACGUAAGGGGCGAGUGUUGUUCGGAAUUAUUGGGCGUAAAGGGUGCGUAGGCGGUCGUGCAAGCCUGGUGUGAAAUCCUGGGGCUUAACCCCAGAACUGCAUUGGGAACUGCGGGACUAGAGUCAUGGAAGGGGAGUUGGAAUUCCAGGUGUAGGGGUGAAAUCUGUAGAUAUCUGGAAGAACACCGGUGGCGAAGGCGAACUCCUGGCCAAUGACUGACGCUGAAGCACGAAAGUGCGGGGAGCAAACA
rnacentral:rRNA from 1 species